GUAGUCUCGCACAGAUGCAUAUCAAUAAGCGGAGGAAAAGAAACUAACAAGGAUUCCCCUAGUAACGGCGAGUGAAGCGGGAAGAGCUCAAAUUUGAAAUCUUAAAGGGUUUCCCUUUACGAAUUGUAGUUUAAAGAAGUGUUUUCUGUUGAGGUUUUGGUAAAAGUUCUUUGGAAUAGGACAUCAUAGAGGGUGAGAAUCCCGUAUUUGACCUUUACUUUCAACUUUGUGAUACACUUUCAAAGAGUCGGAUUGUUUGGGAAUGCAGUCCAAAAUGGGUGGUAAAUUUCAUCUAAAGCUCAAUAUUGGCGAGAGACCGAUAGCGAACAAGUACCGUGAGGGAAAGAUGAAAAGAACUUUGAAAAGAGAGUUAAACAGUACGUGAAAUUGUCAAAAGGGAAGCGUUUUGACACCAGUGUUGUUUUUCUGAAAAUCAAUUAAAGAACUGUUUAUGCUAAGUUGUUUAGACUUUAUCAGCUAAUCUGUUUAGUUUUGAGCUUUUCUUUAAUGCACUUUUCAGUUAACAAGUCAACAUCAAUUUCUUUUGCUGUAAAAAAGCUUGAGGAAGGUGGCUUGAGAUUCGUCUUAAGUGUUUAUAGCCUCUUGCCUAUGCAGUCGGAGAGAUUGAGGUCUGCAGCGUAGAUCCUUCGGGGCUAAAUGCAUUUGUGCUAAGUUAUAGCAUUUUAUAGACAACUUGUUGACUAUGAUUUGUCUUGUAGCUUACUCGCUUAUGUUAUUUUACCUACGCUUAGGAUGUUGACGCAUGAGAUAUACGC
rnacentral:rRNA from 1 species